CAGUCGCCACGGUAAUACGAAGGGUGCAAGCGUUACUCGGAAUUACUGGGCGUAAAGCGUGCGUAGGUGGUGGUUUAAGUCCGUUGUGAAAGCCCUGGGCUCAACCUGGGAAUUGCAGUGGAUACUGGGUCACUAGAGUGUGGUAGAGGAUAGUGGAAUUUCCGGUGUAGCAGUGAAAUGCGUAGAGAUCGGAAAGAACAUCUGUGGCGAAGGCGACUAUCUGGGCCAACACUGACACUGAGGCACGAAAGCGUGGGGAGCAAACAGGAUUAGAUACCCGUGUAGUCCCUGUCUCUUAUAC
rnacentral:rRNA from 1 species